rnacentral:lncRNA from 1 species
GAAACAUUACAGUAUCCAGUGUUUAUAUGGAAAAUGUACGCAAGGGAAUAAAAAUUGCAGGUGAUGUUGGAGAUCAUCCUGACGAAAAUUAUAACCCAAAUGCUCUCCCUGUUCUGAAGAAUGUCGUAAUCAACAAUGUUUGGGGAGAAAAGGUUCUGCAGGCAGGUCUUAUACAAGGUCUGAAAAAUGCUCCAUUUACUGGUAUAUGCCUUUCAAAUAUCCACCUUAAUGGUGCCACUGGAACUAGAAAUCUUCCGUGGAAGUGUUCUGAUGUUAGUGGAACUGCUAGUCAAGUCAGCCCAUUGCCCUGUUCUGAAUUGACG